GACGAACGCUGGCGGCGUGCUUAACACAUGCAAGUCGAACGGAAAGGCCUCUUUCGGGGGGUACUCGAGUGGCGAACGGGUGAGUAACACGUGAGUAACCUGCCCUUGACUUUGGGAUAACUUCAGGAAACUGGGGCUAAUACCGGAUAGGAGCUCCUGCUGCAUGGUGGGGGUUGGAAAGUUUCGGCGGUUGGGGAUGGACUCGCGGCUUAUCAGCUUGUUGGUGGGUAGUGGCUUACCAAGGCUUUGACGGGUAGCCGGCCUGAGAGGGUGACCGGCCACAUUGGGACUGAGAUACGGCCCAGACUCCUACGGGAGGCAGCAGUGGGGAAUAUUGCACAAUGGGUGGAAGCCUGAUGCAGCAACGCCGUGUGCGGGAUGACGGCCUUCGGGUUGUAAACCGCUUUCGCUCAUGACGAAGCUUUGUGUGACGGUAGUGGGUAAAGAAGCACCGGCUAACUACGUG
rnacentral:rRNA from 1 species